ACAAUGAUGAUGUCACUGAUUCUACUGCUGGCCACCCUGGGGCUCCUUGUUCAGGAUUCAUCAGGAGAAAUCAUCCUGACUCAGUCUCCUGGAUCUCAGUCUGUUGCUCCAGGACAAACUGUCUCCAUCAGGUGUAAAACCAGUACAGAUGUUUAUGGCUAUCUCCACUGGUACCUUCAGAAACCUGGAGAAGCUCCUAAACUCCUGAUUUAUGGAGCUACAACUCGUCAGUCUGGAGUUUCAGAUCGUUUUAGUGGAAGUGGAUCUGGGACUGACUACACUCUGACCAUCAGAGGAGUUCAGGCUGAAGAUUCAGGAGUUUACUACUGUCAGCAGAGUAACAGCACACCGUUCACACAGUGAUACAACGUCGUACAAAAACCUCCCUCAGCUGGAGAGGAACUGAUCUGACUCAACAGCUGCACUGAAACUAAAACAACACAAGUUUUACUCAGAACAAAAAAUGUAGUUAAGAAUAAUUCACAUUUAUUAUCUAAAUAUACUGUAUAUAAAAUACUAUAUAUAUUUUAUUUAAUCAGACUUUUAACAUUCUGCUGCACAUCAAAGCUAAACUCUGUUGAAUAAUGAUUUAAUGAUUCAUAAUAAAAUAAUAAUUUAAUUCAUAGAGUAUGAUAACACAUGAAUGUAUGAAUGUAAAUAUUAUAUAUUUUAAAUCUUACCAUUUUUCAUU